AAUGGCAGUAAUACAAUUAUUGGAUUAAGAGACCACAGGAGAAAGGCAGGUGACGUUUCUGGAAGACAGGUAUGGAGUAUAAAAAGGGUGUGAAAUAGUCAUGCGGCGAUCAUUGUAAAAAUACAGUUCAUUAUAUACAUAUUUGCACCACCAACUCUCAACUCUGAAACAGUAUUUACACUUUUGUUACAAUCCUGGUUAGAGAACAAUUUUUCUUUAAAAGCUCGGCCUGAUGGCAAAUGAGAAUUUCAGGUGAAUUCAUAGUCCCAUGAGGUUCUUAGGCUGAAUAUUCCAAGAGGAGGGCUCCAGCUUCUAUUUCAUCCACAAAUUUCAGUUUAAAAAAUAUUUAAUUUUCUUUUACAAAAGAAAAUCCUCAAAAGGAGAGGAAAAACAACAAAAAAAAACCCAAAACACUGCCACACUGUGUAUUCAUACUUAUUUUACAAACACCAAGGGCUGCGCCCUGCUUCAAGGCCAACACUGGUGGCUGAAGACAAAUCUCAUUAAUGAUUGUUAAAAAAAAAAAAAAAAAGACAAAAAGACCAACCAACCUGAUCCCAGCACUGACCCCUCAGGGCUAUGCAGCCCUGUAGGACACACUGCCUCCUGGCCCCAAACUAUGAGUUUUUCAUUUUUCUCUUUUUGGGGUGGGGUGGGAUAGCAGCCUGUUCACCCCACCCUGAGGAGGAGGGAAGGGGAAUCCCUUGGCAGGUGCCCAGGUCUCCUCCUGGUCAGCAAUGAAGAGAUUGGCCUGCAGCCACACAGCGGGCCAGGGAGACAGGCAGAUGGAGCUACAAGCACACACUUCCUGAGGCCCCUCAAGUGGCCCAGAGGCAGGAUAGCAGGCCUCCCCCAGCACCCCUUGUGCCCAUCUCCCAGGCUGUGUCCAUAGGUGGGCCUCCUCCAGGGCUCUGCAGAGGAGGCUGGCCCUCAGCCAGGGUGGGAGUGUGGGGGCAGCAGAGGCUUCCCCUCCCCUGCCCUGGCUGCAGGCUUCCCACUCUCCUUAGCCCCUUUCUGAAGUGUACACAAAUCUCACAGAGCAACACACCUUGGAACCCCUGCAUCUGCUGGGUUGGGAGAGGAAACCUGAACACAUCAAUACCUGACGCCCUGCAGGUCACAGUGUGAGGAGGUGCAAGGAAAACAGAACACUUGGCCAGGAGCCACCCUAGGGCCCCUGCUGUUGGGGCCUGGCGGCGCAGCCACUUCACGGAUCCUGGAGCUGUCCGGGGCCGAGCUGCAGUGCGGUCAUAGCGGGUGCGUGGCUUGAGGACCAGGACAGACCCUGGUGUGGGCAAGGAGGGUGUGGCCCUGAUGGGACAGGUCGGGUUAAUACUGACAGAAAACUGGUACGUGCUCCAAGGGGCUGCCUCCUGGAGGUGGCUCUUCGGGACUCCGCCCCACACCAGCCCCCACUGCCUUUGGGUCCUGUUCUCACACUGGAGGCUUCUGCUGCAGGCUGGGGGGCAUUGGCUUGCUCUGGACGGAGGGUGGCGGGUAGGGCACACGUAGUAAUGCAGGGACAGGAGCAGGCACGUGCCAGGGAGCCCCAAGUGCCACUGAGGGCUCUUUACUUAAUACCUUUUCACUGUCACCAUCUCCUGAGUGGGUUGUCACGCCCUGCACUGAAGAGACAGUGAUGGUGCACCCCAGGAUUCUAGAAACGCCUGAACCUGCUUCCACACAGGCCCUGCCAUGGUCUUGGUUCUGGGUCUCUUUGGGCACAGGGUGAGGAGCGUUCAGUGCCUUCCAAGACACCAACUGUUCCCUUUGUCCUGGGGAAAAGGGGCCAUGCUUUGCCCAAAAAACCCACUGGGCCUCCAGCGAGGCCCGGCCAGGCAGAGUCCAUGGGGUCUGAGUCUGGACACUGGCGACAGUUCACAGGUUUGCGGGCACGGGUCAGUUUGCUCAGCAGGAGCUCCUGAGCCCGCCACACUGACUAGAACUUAAGAUGGUUAUAUACAAUUUAUAAAUCUCAAAGAAAGUACUACUAAAAAAAAAAAAGAAAAGCAAAAGAAAAGAAAAGGGAGAAAAGAAAAAAGGAACACCCAGCCUGCCUCCCCUCCCCCACAAGCUCCCCACCCCGGGUGCUGCCCUGAAUGCCACCCCAGGAAGGGCGGCUGGAGCCGCGGCUCUGGCUGGACACUACUGGCAAAAGGGGGAGGCCGUGGGGUCGAAGCCUUUAAAAACAUCCUUUAGGGACGCCGCAUCCUGCUCGCCCUCGCGGGCCGGACUGUUCCCAGCAAAUGGACUUCCUGAGCCCGUCUUGGGUGCCUGCUUCACCGUCCCGAAGAGGGUGGGAACGGGCAGGUUGUGCACCCCGGGCUGGGGUGGGGCACCCUCAGGGGGUGGGGUGGCGGUGGUGGCGGUGGGGGCUGUAGCGGCCUUGGGCCGGGCCGGUUGUAGCUGUUGUAUCUGUCCGUGGGGGCGCCCCCAUCGGCACCGGCCUUCCCUGUCUCUGGCUGUUCCAGGGCAGACUUGCGGACGAACGGGGGCUCCUUCGCCUUGGAGGCCGAGCUCUUGCCAUUACCUUCAGCGCCCUUGGGCUGGGCACCUGUGUCAGCGGCCGGCUCUGUGGCUUUGCCCCCCGCGUUGGGAGUCCUCGGGUCGUAGAGGCUGAUGCCGCUCAGCACGCUGCUCUGCCCGCUCCCUCCACCCUGGCCCAGCCCACCGGCUGCCAGCACGCGAGGGUCAUAGGGAGCGGUGGCUGGUGGGGAGGCAUCCCCACUCGGGCUGGCAGUGGGAGAGGGUGCCUCAGCGGGGCUGGGCUUGGUAGCCCGGGAGGAGGCCGUAGAGUCUGUGGGUUUCUGCAGCCGAGGGUCGGUGGGGGCCUUCCGCACCCGGGGGUCACUGGGUUUGUCAGUGGAACCAGGAGUAGCUGAGGAGCCGGUGGCAUUGACCGUCUUGAGGAUGCGAGAGAGAAGUUCAAAGUCGGGGAGGUUGGCGCCCUGUGUGCUGGAGUCCGUGGAGGCACCUGGGGCUGCCGGGCGUUGGGGGCCCUGCCAGCGGUGCAGGCGGGGGGUCCAGGGUGGGCAUGGACUGCAGGGCAGCGGGCACGGGGGGCACUACGUCCUGCUUGGGGACGGGUAGGGGGAUCAGGUCCUCGGGAUUCCAGAGCACGGUGCGGGCGAAGCUGGGCUUGCUCAGGGUCACGUCCUUCUUGAUGUGGCUGAACUGCUGCAGUUGUGACCGUGGGUCCCGCAGGGGGUGCCCGGGGAGUGGGUCCAGGGGAAUGUUCACGGCCUUCUCCCGCAGGGCCCGCUCCCCUUCCUCUUCCUCCGCAGGGGGCGGCCCAGACCCCUUGGAACUGCUGGGGCCCACAGGGCUGGAA
rnacentral:lncRNA from 1 species